rnacentral:rRNA from 1 species
AUUGAACGCUGGCGGCAGGCUUAACACAUGCAAGUCGAGCGAGCGGCGGACGGGUGAGUAAUGUCUGGGAAACUGCCUGAUGGAGGGGGUUAACUACUGGAAACGGUAGCUAAUCCCGCAUACCAUCAGAUGUGCCCCGCUGGGAUUAGCUAGUAGGUGGGGUAAUGGUUCACCUAGGCGACGAUCCCUAGCUGGUCUGAGAGGAUGACCAGGCACACUGGAACUGAGAGACGGUCCAGAGUCCGACGGGAGGCAGCAGGGGGGAAUAUGGCACAAUGGGCGCAAGCCUGAUGCAGCGAUGCCGCGUGUGUGAAGAGGGCCUUCAGGUUGUAAAGCAGUUUCAGCGAGGAGGCGUUACUCGCAGAAGAAGCACCGGCUAACUCCGUGCCAGCAGCCGCGGUAAUUC